rnacentral:tRNA from 1 species
UCCUUGGUGGUCCAGUGGCUAAGACUCUGAGCUCCCAAUGCAGGGAACCUGGGUUCGAUCUCUGGUCAGGGAA